ACCCCUACGGGAGGCAGCAGUGGGGAAUAUUGGGCAAUGGACGCAAGUCUGACCCAGCAACGCCGCGUGAAGGAAGAAGGCUUUCGGGUUGUAAACUUCUUUUAAGGGGGAAGAGCAGAAGACGGUACCCCUUGAAUAAGCCACGGCUAACUACGUGCCAGCAGCCGCGGUAAUACGUAGGUGGCAAGCGUUGUCCGGAUUUACUGGGUGUAAAGGGCGUGCAGCCGGAGAGGCAAGUCAGAUGUGAAAUCCGCGGGCUCAACUCGCGAACUGCAUUUGAAACUGGGAGACUUGAGUGCAGAAGA
rnacentral:rRNA from 1 species